rnacentral:rRNA from 1 species
UCAAGGAAGAAGAACUGACGGUACUUGAGGAAUAAGCCACGGCUAAUUCCGUGCCAGCAGCCGCGGUAAUACGGGAGUGGCAAGCGUUAUCCGGAAUUAUUGGGCGUAAAGCGUCCGCAGGCGGCCUUGUAAGUCUGCUGUCAAAGCGUGGAGCUUAACUCCAUUUCGGCAGUGGAAACUACAAGGCUUGAGUGUGGUAGGGGCAGAGGGAAUUCCCGGUGUAGCGGUGAAAUGCGUAGAUAUCGG